rnacentral:lncRNA from 1 species
GGUCCGUCGCCGUCGGCGACCGAGGAGGGCCGCCGCUCCUCCUCCAGCUGCCUCAGCUGCCAGCCAUUACCAAGAACGCGUCAAGAACACGAUCGCCGUCGCACAGGCAAAGCAAUGCAUGGCGAUCAGGCAACGUGUAAGUAACGUAGUAUAUAUCGGUAAGCACGUACCCGUAGGUCGAUCUGGUCGAGGCGGCCGAGCAGGCUGUCGGGCGGCGGCGGCGCGGGGAGGGAGCUGAUGAGCACGCGGCGCUCGGACCCGACGAGCACCUCGGCGGCCAUUGUUGGCGUGCGGUGCAGCAGCGACUAGCUAGUGAUGAAGUCGCAGCAGGCAGGUCGAGUGAGGGAGAUAUAAAGGAGGAGGUGGCCAUCGCCAUCGGGCAUGCAACGUGGGAGGUGGGAGUAAAGAUCGGCGGGGUCGUGUGGACUGGCCUGGUCUCCUCCGCCGCCUUGAUCUCAUCUAAGCUUCUGUCUGCCCUCACCGCCACCACUCGGUCUCCA